GAUGAACGCUGGCGGCGUGCCUAAUACAUGCAAGUCGAGCGAACAGACGAGGAGCUUGCUCCUCUGACGUUAGCGGCGGACGGGUGAGUAACACGUGGAUAACCUACCUAUAAGACUGGGAUAACUUCGGGAAACCGGAGCUAAUACCGGAUAAUAUAUUGAACCGCAUGGUUCAAUAGUGAAAGACGGUUUUGCUGUCACUUAUAGAUGGAUCCGCGCCGCAUUAGCUAGUUGGUAAGGUAACGGCUUACCAAGGCAACGAUGCGUAGCCGACCUGAGAGGGUGAUCGGCCACACUAGAACUGAGACACGGUCCAGACUCCUACGGGAGGCAGCAGUAGGGAAUCUUCCGCAAAGGGCGAAAGCUUGACGGAGCAACGCCGCGUGAGUGAUGAAGGUCUUCGGAUCGUAAAACUCUGUUAUUAGGGAAGAACAAGUGUGUAAGUAACUAUGCACGUCUUGACGGUACCUAAUCAGAAAGCCACGGCUAACUACGUG
rnacentral:rRNA from 1 species